CUACGGGACGCAGCAGGCGCGAAACUUCUACAAUGCACGAAAGUGUGAUAGGGGGAUCCUUGGUGCUUAUACUUUGUAUAGGCUUUUGUUAAAGGUAAAUUCUUUAGCGAAUAAGUGGUGGGAAAGACCGGUGCCAGCAGCCGCGGUACAUACCGGCGCCACAAGUGGCGAUCAGUUUUAUUGGGUCUAAAGCGUUCGUAGCUGGUUUAAUAAAUCUUUUGUGAAAUUGUCUAGCUUAACUAGUCAACGUGCAGAAGACACUGUUAAACUAGAGACCGGGAGGGGUUAGAAGUAUUUCAAGGGGAACGGUAAAAUGUUAUAAUCCUUGAAAGACUACCAAUGGCGAAGGCAUCUAACCAGAACGGAUCUGACAGUGAGGAACGAAGGCCAGGGGAGCGAACCGGAUUAGAUACCCGAGUAGUC
rnacentral:rRNA from 1 species